AGCUCCAAUAGCGUAUACUAAAGUUGUUGCAGUUAAAAAGCUCGUAGUUGGAUUUCUGGUCGCAAGUUUCGGUCCGCCCUUCGCGGGGUGUGUUUACCAGAGACUAGCAGCCAUCCUCGAGGAGAGCAUAUCUGGCAUUUAGUUGUCGGGUAUGGGAUCCUCGUCAUUUACUGUGAGCAAAAUAGAGUGUUCAAAGCAGGCUUAGGCCGUUGAAUACAUUAGCAUGGAAUAAUAAGAUAAGACCUUGGUCUAUUUUGUUGGUUUGCACUCCAAGGUAAUGAUUAAUAGGGAUAGUUGGGGGUAUUCGUAUUCAAUUGUCAGAGGUGAAAUUCUUGGAUUUAUGGAAGACGAACUACUGCGAAAGCAUUUACCAAGGAUGUUUUCA
rnacentral:rRNA from 1 species